rnacentral:rRNA from 1 species
UGGGGAAUAUUGGACAAUGGGCGAAAGCCUGAUCCAGCAAUGCCGCGUGAGUGAUGAAGGCCUUAGGGUUGUAAAGCUCUUUUACCCGGGAUGAUAAUGACAGUACCGGGAGAAUAAGCCCCGGCUAAGCUUACUGUGCUAGCAGCCGCGGUAAUACGAAGGGGGCGUAGCGUUGUUCGGAAUUACUGGGCGUAAAGCGCACGUAGGCGGCGAUUCAAGUCAUAGGUGAAAGCCCGGGGCUCAACCCCGCAAGCAUGCUUUGCAAUACUAGAUUGCUAGAAUCCUGGAGAGGUUAGUGGAAUUCCGAGUGUAGAGGUGAAAUUCGUAGAUAUUCGGAAGAACACCAGUGGCGAAGGCGACUAACUGGACAGGUAUUGACGCUGAGGUGCGAAAGCGUGGGGAGCAAAACA